CCAGACUGAACCCAGCUGAAACAGAAAAGGAACUAUUUCUGAUUGCUUAACUGGAAAGUCCAGGAGCAGAGUUGAUUCAGGAACCCAAAGGGUGUCAGGAGGAUUCAGUUUUACCUUGCCUAGUCCCUGGAACUUCAGACUUUCAGCCUCACAGAGCUUGUUAUACCUCAGCAAAUCACCACACCCACCAGGAAGGAUUUAGGGUUGUAGGCAAAGCACCGUUUCCGCGUUGGCCCCUCGAAGAUUCUCUACCAGGGUUUCUGAUUGUAAAAGUGCACAGGGGAGGAAAAUGAGCCUCAUCUGAUACACGCUGUGCCUGAGGACAAGAACAAUGAGAUUUCCCCCUGGUCUUUGGCCUCAACAGAAUAUUCCAAUGAAGUUCAGGCCGGUCUACAACCUCCAGACAGCGUCUAAAUAACAAGUCCUACCAACUACAGUGGCCGUAGGUCUGACUCUCUGUGGCCACAGAGACAAG